GACGAACGCUGGCGGCGUGCUUAACACAUGCAAGUCGAGCGGAGCGGCGAACGGGUGAGUAACGCGUGAGUAAAUGCCCCACUCUCAGGGAUAACAGUUGGAAACGGCUGCUAAUACCGGAUAGAUGGGGAUGACUUGCGUCAUAUCAGCUUGUUGGUGGGGUAGUGGCCUACCAAGGGGACGCCGGGUAGCCGGCCUGAGAGGGCGACCGGCCACAUUGGGCUGGGGUACGGCCCGAACUCCUACGGGGGGCAGCAGUGGGGAAUAUUGCAAGAUGGGGGAAGCCCUGAUGCAGCAACGCCGCGUGCGAGAUGUCGGCCUUCGGGUUGUAAACCGCUUUCAGCCAUGACGCGGUAGUGGCAGAAGAAGCACCGGCUAACUACGUGCCAGCAGCCGCGGUAAUAC
rnacentral:rRNA from 1 species